rnacentral:rRNA from 1 species
CAGGACGAACGCUGGCGGCGUGCCUAAUACAUGCAAGUCGAGCGAAUGACAAGGAGCUUGCUCCUUUGAUUUAGCGGCGGACGGGUGAGUAACACGUGGGUAACCUACCCUAUAGACUGGGAUAACUUCGGGAAACCGGAGCUAAUACCGGAUAAUACUUCGAAACACAUGUUUUGAAGUUGAAAGAUGGUUUCGGCUAUCACUAUAGGAUGGACCCGCGGCGCAUUAGCUAGUUGGUGGGGUAAUGGCUCACCAAGGCAACGAUGCGUAGCCGACCUGAGAGGGUGAUCGGCCACACUGGGACUGAGACACGGCCCAGACUCCUACGGGAGGCAGCAGUAGGGAAUCUUCCACAAUGGACGAAAGUCUGAUGGAGCAACGCCGCCGUGAGUGAAGAAGGAUUUCGGUUCGUAAAACUCUGUUGCAAGGGAAGAACAAGUAGCGUAGUAACUGGCGCUACCUUGACGGUACCUUGUUAGAAAGCCACGGCUAACUACGUGCCAGCCGCGGC